AUUGAAUGCUGGCGGCAUGCCUUACACAUGCAAGUCGAACGGCAGCGGACCUUCGGGUGCCGGCGAGUGGCGAACGGGUGAGUAAUAUAUCGGAACGUACCUUUCAGUGGGGGAUAACGUAGCGAAAGUUACGCUAAUACCGCAUAUUCUGUGAGCAGGAAAGCAGGGGAUCGCAAGACCUUGCGCUGAUUGAGCGGCCGAUAUCAGAUUAGCUAGUUGGUGAGGUAAAGGCUCACCAAGGCGACGAUCUGUAGCGGGUCUGAGAGGAUGAUCCGCCACACUGGAACUGAGACACGGUCCAGACUCCUACGGGAGGCAGCAGUGGGGAAUUUUGGACAAUGGGCGCAAGCCUGAUCCAGCCAUGCCGCGUGAGUGAAGAAGGCCUCGG
rnacentral:rRNA from 1 species